rnacentral:rRNA from 2 species
GAAGAACUUACCAGGUCUUGACAUCCUCUGAAAACCCUAGAGAUAGGGCUUCUCCUUCGGGAGCAGAGUGACAGGUGGUGCAUGGUUGUCGUCAGCUCGUGUCGUGAGAUGUUGGGUUAAGUCCCGCAACGAGCGCAACCCUUGAUCUUAGUUGCCAUCAUUAAGUUGGGCACUCUAAGGUGACUGCCGGUGACAAACCGGAGGAAGGUGGGGAUGACGUCAAAUCAUCAUGCCCCUUAUGACCUGGGCUACACACGUGCUACAAUGGACGGUACAAAGAGCUGCAAGACCGCGAGGUGGAGCUAAUCUCAUAAAACCGUUCUCAGUUCGGAUUGUAGGCUGCAACUCGCCUACAUGAAGCUGGAAUCGCUAGUAAUCGCGGAUCAGCAUGCCGCGGUGAAACGUU